ACGCUGGCGGGGCUACACAUGCAGUCUGAGCGCGCCUUCGGGUGAGCGGCGGACGGGUUAGUAACGCGUGGGAACGUGCCCUUUUCUACGGAAUAGCCUCUGGAAACGGAGAGUAAUACCGUAUACGCCCUUUGGGGGAAAGAUUAUCGGAGAAGGAUCGGCCCGCGUUAGAUUAGGUAGUUGGUGGGGUAAUGGCCUACCAAGCCUACGAUCUAUAGCUUGGUGUUAGAGGAUGAUCAGCAACACUGGGACUGAGACACGGUCCAGACUCCUACGGGAGGCAGCAGUGGGGAAUCUUAGACAAUGGGGGAAACCCUGAUCUAGCCAUGCCGCGUGAGUGAUGAAGGCUUAGGGUCGUAAAGCUCUUUCGCCUGUGAUGAUAAUGACAGUAGCAGGUAAAGAAAACCCGGCUAACUCCGUGCCAGCAGCCGAGGUAAUACGGAGGGGGUUAGCGUAGUUCGGAAUUACUGGGCGUAAAGCGCGCGUAAGCGGAUUAGAAAGUAGGGGGUGAAAUCCCGGAGCUCAAACCCGGAAC
rnacentral:rRNA from 1 species